GAAAUUUUAAUGUAAUAAAAUGUUUUAAAAGAAAUUUUAAGUUCCUACAUGAUAACUGUAAACCUACUUUUGGGCUUCCCUGUAUAUUGUGUGUAUGAGUGUUCAUAUAUACUGCUGAUACAUGGAUAUGCUAUUCUUGACCCUAAAUUGGUGUCUUUAUUAUUAAAAUACCUUGAUUCAAUUGGAUCCUGCAAAUGGUUAAUUAUAUACAUAUAUAUUAGUGCAAAUUAUUAUUCUGUCUCACUUGAAGCAUCCCUGAGAGAUAGACCAGUUGAUCAUUGUCUCUUAUUGGCUCUUGAUCAAGUUGUAAUUAAUUCCAGAUCAGCUCUGAUCAUAGGUCUGCUCAAGUAGACUUAUGAUUAAAUGCUCCAGCCAUAACCAUCAUACUGUCUCUGAUAUUUGGCUGCUAUUAGUAGCAGAUUGGGCAGUAGUGUAAAGUCUUCAUCACAGAUUCAUGGUCUGGUAGUUACAUCUUUUAUCUUUUAAUUGUUUCAGUCAUUAGAUGAGGUGGUGAAGCACGACGUUUGAACAUUAGGCCUCACCGAGGCAAUACUUAGUGACCGAGACCUUUGGAAAUAUGCUGUGCGUGAGAAAACCCGGCAAGCCAAGUGAGACCAUAACCCGUGGCCUUUGCCAGGGGUGUAGUCAGCCCACUUAUGCAUACCUUUCCUUCAUUGGACACUAAACUCUGCUUGCGAAGACCUGUUGAGGCAAGUGGAAUCGAAAUCGAACCAAAUUUGACAACUGGCAUCCAUGCCAACCUUUCCUUCAUAGGACACUAAACUCUGCUUGCGAAGACCUGUUGGGGGCAAGUGAAAUCGAAAUCGUAAUUGAACCAAAUUUGAUGACUGGCACCCGUGCCAGUGGAGCACUAACAGCACUGUCUGUGCGUGAUCAUUGCCAGAGCAGCUGUCUGGCUUCCAUGCCGGUGGCAUGUAAAUACUACCAUUUAAGCAUGUUCAUUAUCAGUGCCGCCUUAAUGGCACGUGAAAAAACAUUCGAGCGAAGUCGUUGCCAGUGCCGCUGGACUGGCUCCUGUACAGGUGGCAUGUAAAAAACAUCAUUUGAGCGUGGUCAUUGCCAGUAGCACCUGACUGGCCCUUGAACCAGUGGCAUGUAAAAGCACCCACUACACUCUCAGAGUGGAAGGGCAUCCAGCUGUAGAAACUCUGCCAAAUCAAAUUGGAGCCUGGUGCAGCCAUCUGGUUCUCCAGUCCUCAGUCAAAUCGUCCAACCCAUGCUAGCAUGGAAAGCAGACAUUAAACGAUGAUGAUUAGACUGUGGCCAUGAUGGGACACUGCCUUGAAAGAAUUUAGUUGAACAAAUCAACCCCAAUACUUAUUUCAUUUUUAAGCUUGACACUUAUUUUGUUGGUCUCUUUUGCUGGACCACUAAAAUACAGGGAUGUAAACAAACCAACACUGGUUGUCAAGUGGUGAUGGAGGACAAACACAUCACACACAAUUAUAUACAUAUCACAUAGACUUUCUGUCUACCAAAUCUACUCACAAGGCUUUGCUUCGCUUGGAGCUAUGGUUGAAGAUAUUUGCUGAAGGUGUCACACAGCAGGACUGAACCCUCCCAAGGUAAAUGGAUGAAGAGCAAACUUCUUACCACACAGGUAUGCCUGCACUUGUGAUCAUUAUCUUGUGAUGAUAAACUCACAUAUCUCAGCUACCUCAGUCCAGUUUUCUGUACUAAACCCUUCAUUCUUGUAACUUGAGUGUUUGCUCUGGCAUUCCGUCACUAUCUUCAUUUAUCUCCUUCUCUACUACUCCCUCCCACCUCUAUAUAUAAUAGGGGUUUGCCAUGUAUCUUCUCUAUAGCAAAACACCUGUGCUUGUCCCUCUAUCUUUAGCCUUUCAGCAUCUGGCAUAAAGCCACCUUCCCCUCCCGAGAAUACUCCAUUUAAUAGUGGGAGCGUUUCCCUUUUUUUCUUCUUGUUCUUUUUCUAACAUGCAAAUUAGCUGACAGCCUCACAACUGUCAAUGCUAUGAAAAAAGCAACCAGUACACUCUGUAAAGUGGUUGGCAUUAAGAAGGGCAUCCAGCUGUAGAAACCAUGCCGAAGUUGUCAUUGGAGCUUCACAUGACAUUGUGACUCAUCAGAUUUUGUCAAACUACCCAUCUUAUGCCAGCAUGGAAAGUGGACAUUAUUAUUAUUGUUGUCAGUCAUCGGUCAUCUGUCGAUGUUGCCGAUGAUCUGUCUUAUUGGUUUACCUAACAAUCCUUGGACUACAUUAUCAGCAGUUGUUGUUCACUGUGUGAUGUAAUAAUAUGUUUCAAAUAGUCAGCUUCUCCCUCACUUUCCCAUUUUCGUUGGUGACGGAAUGAAACACCUUUUUGUCUUCAUGAACUUCUAUUAUAUGGAAGAGAAUAACAGUAUCGUUGUCAUAAGUAGAUGCUGCAGCCUGUACUUGUGUAUGUAAUGGAUAGAAUAUAAGAAUAAUACUGGUGUUCUGCAAUAGAUGCAGGUCUAUGUCUCUAUUGUAGAUUUGUAAAAGAUAAAUAUCUAGACCUAUACUGGAGGUGUGUAAUAGAUAUAUAGACCUAUAAUGGAGGGUGUGUAUUAGAUAGGUAUGUAGACCUAUAAUGGAGGAUCUGUAAUAGAGAGAUAAACACACCUGUAUUGGAGGUGUGGAAUAGAUAGGUACAUAGACCUAUAAUGGAGGGUGUGUAACAUAUAUUCAUAUAUAUGUCAUCUGUGCAGUAGAUGUAUAAAAUGGGCUAAUUUAAGUAUUUCUUCAUAAAUUGGAAAAAUAAUGAACAGCCUUAAUCGAAUUUUGAAACUUAUUGGUUUCUUAUCAGGAGUGUGUACAUCUCUCAACCAAUCCCAGUAGACAGAGAUGUAGACUUAUAAUAGGUGUAGACUUACCACACAGCCAUGCUUGCGCCUAUAUAUAAAAGUAAUUAUAUAAACAACAAGAAAACAAAGAAUUAUGUAAUGACUAAUACUUUUUCUGAAGCUUAUGUAUAUUGUUCUAACACCAGGUCAUUAAUAUUGCUCUGCAUAAACAAAAUAUUAAAACAUAAGCUCACACACAAAGAGGCACACAUACACCUGCACAUAGAGAUGGGGGAAAGAGAGAGUGAAUCGUUCAAUGCAUCUUGUUUUGUAAUUUUGGUAUUCUGAAUUCAGUUCGUGCCAGAUUUAACUCUCUGGAUACACAAACAAAUGAAUACAUGAUGAUAAAAUAAAAUAGAAUACGAAACCCAGCAAUAUAUUCUUUUAUCAGUCCACAUGUAACUACAAUGCACUCCAUCACAGAACAAACAAAAAAAUUCUUAGUACUUGGUCAUGUACUUAUUAAAUGUAAGCUAUCCAAUCAGUAACAUUUCCAAAGAAUUACAAUAGAGAGAGGUGAGGAGAGAAGGAGGAUGAGGGAAGGAGAAGGAAGAGGUGAAGACAAGAGAUUGGAUUGGUUGAAUAUGUGAUGUCAUCAACAUUUAAUCUCUGGUUAAUAAAAUAAUUGAUCAGGAGUUGAGAGCUCAAGGAUGAAAGUAAGAAACAGUUAUUUAAUGGAAGGGAAUGUAAUCUGUUAAAUUGACUCUAGUACUUCACAAGUAUUUAUUUUAUUAACCUGUGAAAGAAGGAAGUCAAACUUUAGUCAAAUUUUAGAAGGAAACAGCUGAAAGAUAAAAAUAAAACUAUCAGGAAACCAGGUAGAAGUUGCUGGAACUGAACAAGAACAAAGUACAAAAGUUGUGGUCAAGGAACUUGAGAGCAACAAGAGGAAAAUUGAACGAAUUUACCUGGAAUUGUAAGAGCAAUUAAUAAGAAAGAGCC